rnacentral:misc_RNA from 1 species
GAAAUGCGAUAAGUAAUGUGAAUUGCAGAAUUCAGUGAAUCAUCGAAUAUUUGAACGCACCUUGCGCGCCUUGGUAUUCCUUGGAGCAUGCCUGUUUGAGUAUCAUGAAAUCUUCAAAGUAAAUCUUUUGUUAACUCAAUUGGUUUCUACUUUGGUAUUGGAGGUCUUUGCAGCUUCACACCUGCUCCUCUUUGUUCAUUAGCUGGAUCUCAGUGUUAUGCUUGGUUCCACUCGGCGUGAUAAGUUAUCUAUCGCUGAGGACACUGUAAAAGGUGGCCAAGGUAAAUGCAGAUGAACCGCUUCUAAUAGUCCAUUGACUUGGACAAUACUUUUAUGAUCUGAUCUCAAAUCAGGUAGGACUACCCGCUGAACUUAAGC